rnacentral:miRNA from 14 species
GCUGGUUUCAUGUGGUGGUUUAGA